rnacentral:rRNA from 3 species
CCUGGCGGCCGUAGCGCGGUGGUCCCACCUGACCCCAUGCCGAACUCAGAAGUGAAACGCCGUAGCGCCGAUGAUAGUGUGGGGUCUCCCCAUGCGAGAGUAGGGAACUGCCAGGC